GUCAGAGCGCCUGGUUUUUCCAGAGCAGCUGGACAGCUGGACUUUGUGUGGGUACAAGGACGCUGAAAGGGAUUAUCCCACAGCCUGAGAAUUGUGGCUGAGGCCAAAGCUGGGCCAAUGAUCUGCCACCUGCUGGGGUCAGACCUCGCAUCCCCCUCCCCUCCCCCAGAGCUUACUAAAUCACUCACCAGAGAUGGGGGUACCCUCAAGUGGGGGCUGGCCUCUACCUCCCCACAGCCAACUGAGGGUCACCCAUCCAAGCAUCCCUCGUUCUUUCUUUUGACAAAGAUUUGAGCAGCUACUUUGUGCCGGGUUUUGGAGAUCAGCAACAGAUGGAAACACAGGGAGAGAACUCCCAGAGGGCUCCAGCUGCGUCUUCUGCAGCCCCGGGUGUUUGCAAAUACAGAAACAAAGUCUGUUCUGACCUGGAGGAUUCCUGGGGUGGGAGGCCCAGGGGAGGGGCUCUGGCUGGCUUGAAGGCAGGCUGGUGUGGUCAGUGGGGAAGGUAGUCCUGCACUCCCUCCUGGAGUUCAGAGGCCCUGGAAGGGAAGUGGACGACUCUAUUGUUCUGGGGACCCAAGUGUUGAUACAGGUAGGUGACAGGAGGCUGGAAGCUGUGGCAUGCACAGGUGACUGUACCCAGCUGCAGGGCUGUGAGCCUCUGGCCAACUGGACGGAGACCUCCAGGCCUCUCUGAGGGUCCAGGGAGAGGCUCUUGCCCAGUAUGCAGUCAGCCCCCUGGAGACCCAGCGGCAAAACAGAACUUCCUCUCCCCAAGUCCAAAAAACUAGUAGGAAUGAAAAGACACGUGGCUUUUGUCCCUCCUCAUCCCUAUCUGCCACCCUGGAGGAGCUAGGAUCCCGAAGAGGUCAGAGGGGACCUCUUGGAACCAGAUGAGUCAGAAAGGUUGCCUGAACUGUAUUUUAAAUUAAAGGGACCAGUUAGCUAUUGGUUGAGCCCUAGGUGUCAAGAUGGAAGUGGGAUUUCACAGCACUCGGUUGGAUGGAAAGAAUACACUGCGGGUUCGUUCCCUGGACCGAAACUUCACACAUUAAACAGUUCACUUCUUAAACAACACACAGUGCUCUUUCUGUGCCAGGCCCUCUUCUUUGUCUGUACAUCUUUCAUCUCAUCUACACUUCACGACAUCACCUCCAGAUUACAGAUGAG
rnacentral:lncRNA from 1 species